AGGGGGCAACAGAACAGUCCUGA
rnacentral:miRNA from 1 species